GGAGGGGUGGCCGAGUGGCUGAAGGCGGCGGUUUGCUAAACCGUUGAAGGGGUAAUGCCCCUUCCGUGGGUUCGAAUCCCAUCCCCUCCGCCA
rnacentral:tRNA from 1 species